rnacentral:rRNA from 1 species
GACAGAGGGUGCAAACGUUGUUCGGAAUCAUUGGGCGUAAAGAGCGUGUAGGCGGCUCGAUAAGUCUGCUGUGAAAGUCCAGGGCUCAACCCUGGAAGGCCGGUGGAAACUGUCGGGCUAGAGUCCGGAAGAGGCGAGUGGAAUUCCCGGUGUAGCGGUGAAAUGCGCAGAUAUCGGGAGGAACACCAAUGGCGAAGGCAGCUCGCUGGGACGGUACUGACGCUGAGACGCGAAAGCGUGGGGAGCAAACAGG